GAGAGAGAGAGAGAGAGAGAGAGAGGCAUCCAAGAUUUAAAAGCGUAAAAAUGGUGAGGGUUCCUUGUUGUGAAAAGAUGGGGUUGAAAAAGGGACCAUGGACGCCUGAAGAAGAUCAAAUCUUGGUAUCUUAUAUCCAACGUUUUGGCCAUGGCAAUUGGCGAGCACUCCCCAAGCAAGCAGGUUUGCUAAGGUGUGGAAAGAGCUGUAGGCUUAGGUGGAUAAAUUACUUGAGACCAGAUAUUAAACGAGGAAACUUCAGCAAUGAAGAAGAAGAAACGAUCAUUAAGCUGCAUCAGAACAUUGGGAACAGAUGGUCUGCAAUUGCGACAAAAUUGCCCGGAAGAACAGACAAUGAGAUAAAGAAUUAUUGGCACUCUCACCUAAAGAAGAGACUUGAAGGGAAACAAGCUACCCCAAGCACAAGCAGUUCAGCUGGUCAAACCACCAAAACAUCAUCAAAAAUAAGGGCAGCUAUCAACAAUGCAAGAUCACCACAGCAGCCUGAGAAUUUUCCUACCCAUCAAAUUAAAAGAAGUUAUCUUGACCAUGCAACAGUUUUCCCACAAGAGCCAUCCCAGGGACCUUUGAGUUCUAUGGCAACAACUGUGGAAGCCAUCAACAGUUUCAAUACUGUAAAUGAUACGGAGUACUUUUGGAUUGGACUCUUAAUGACAGCAGGAAA
rnacentral:misc_RNA from 1 species